rnacentral:rRNA from 1 species
GACGAACGCUGGCGGCGCGCCUAACACAUGCAAGUCGAGCGAGAACCAGGGGCUUCGGCCCUUGGGGACAGCGGCGAACGGGUGAGUAACACGUGGAUAACCUGCCCUCGGCACCGGAAUAGCCCGGGGAAACUCGGAUUAAUGCCGGAUAGCCCCACAUCCCUGUGGGGAACGUGGGAAAAGGUAGUUUUGGUUUUUGGCCGGGGAUGGGUCCGCGGUGGAUUAGCUUGUUGGUGGGGUAAUGGUUUACCAAGGCGACGAUCCAUAGCUGGUCUGAGAGGAUGAUCAGCCACACUGGGAUUGAGAUAUGGUUUAGACUCCUAUGGGAGGCAGCAGUGGGGAAUCUUGCGCAAUGGGCGAAAGCCUGACGCAGCGACGCCGCGUGCGGGAAGAAGGCCUUCGGGUUGUAAACCGCUUUCAGGAGGGACGAAGCCAUUUGGGUAAAUAGCCCAGAGGGUGACGGUACCUCCAGAAGAAGCCCCGGCUAACUACGUGCCAGCAGUUGUGGUAAUACGUAGGGGGCAAGCGUUGUCCGGAUUCAUUGGGCGUAAAGAGCGUGUAGGCGGCCAGGUAGGUCGGUUGUGAAAACUGGAGGUUUAACCUUCAGACGUCGACCGAAACCAUCUGGCUAGAGUCCGGGAGAGGAGAGUGGAAUUCCUGGUGUAGCGGUGAAAUGCGCAGAUAUCAGGAAGAACACCCGUGGCGAAAGCGGCUCUCUGGAACGGUACUGACGCUGAGACGCGAAAGCGUGGGGAGUGAAUAGGAUUAGAUAUCCUGGUAGUCCACGCCGUAAACGAUGGGCGCUAGGUGUGGGAGGUGUUGACUCCUCCCGUGCCGCAGCUAACGCAUUAAGCGCCCCGCCUGGGGAGUACGGCCGCAAGGCUA